rnacentral:rRNA from 1 species
UGCCUUUCAGAGGGGGAUACCGAUUGGAAACGAUCGUUAAUACCGCAUAAUAUAAUUGAACCGCAUGAUUUGAUUAUCAAAGAUUUAUCGCUGAAAGAUGAGCUCGCGUCUGAUUAGCUAGUUGGUAAGGUAACGGCUUACCAAGGCGACGAUCAGUAGCCGGACUGAGAGGUUGAUCGGCCACAUUGGGACUGAGACACGGCCCAGACUCCUACGGGAGGCAGCAGUGGGGAAUAUUGCACAAUGGAGGAAACUCUGAUGCAGCGAUGCCGCGUGAGGGAAGAAGGUUUUAGGAUUGUAAACCUCUGUCUUCAGGGACGAAAAAAGACGGUACCUGAGGAGGAAGCUCCGGCUAACUACGUGCCAGCAGCCGCGGUAAUACGUAGGGAGCGAGCGUUGUCCGGAAUUACUGGGUGUAAAGGGAGCGUAGGCGGGAUCGCAAGUCAGAUGUGAAAACUAUGGGCUUAACCCAUAAACUGCAUUUGAAACUGUGGUUCUUGAGUGAAGUAGAGGUAAGCGGAAUUCCUAGUGUAGCGGUGAAAUGCGUAGAUAUUAGGAGGAACAUCAGUGGCGAAGGCGGCUUACUGGGCUUUAACUGACGCUGAGGCUCGAAAGCGUGGGGAGCAAACAGGAUUAGAUACCCUGGUAGUCCACGCCGUAAACGAUGAUUACUAGGUGUGGGGGGACUGACCCCUUCCGUGCCGCAG